GUAACGGCGAGUGAAGCGGCAAGAGCUCAAAUUUGAAAGCUGGCCCCUCCGGGGUCCGCGUUGUAAUUUGCAGAGGAUGCUUCGGGCUCAGCCCCCGUCUAAGUGCCCUGGAACGGGCCGUCGGAGAGGGUGAGAAUCCCGUCUGGGACGGGGUGCCUGGGUCCAUGUGAAGCUCCUUCGACGAGUCGAGUUGUUUGGGAAUGCAGCUCUAAAUGGGUGGUAAAUUUCAUCUAAAGCUAAAUACUGGCCGGAGACCGAUAGCGCACAAGUAGAGUGAUCGAAAGAUGAAAAGCACUUUGAAAAGAGAGUUAAACAGCACGUGAAAUUGUUGAAAGGGAAGCGCUUGCGAUCAGACUCGCCUGCGGGGUUCAGCCGGCAUUCGUGCCGGUGUACUUCCCCGUGGGCGGGCCAGCGUCGGUUCGGGUGGCCGGUCAAAGGCCCCGGGAAUGUGUCGCCCUCCGGGGCGUCUUAUAGCCCGGGGUGCCAUGCGGCCUACCUGGACCGAGGAACGCGCUUCGGCUCGGACGCUGGCGUAAUGGUCGUAAGCGACCCGUCUUGAAACACGGACCAAGGAGUCUAACAUCUACGCGAGUGUUUGGGUGGCAAACCCAUACGCGCAGUGAAAGCGAACGGAGGUGGGAACCCUUCGGGGCGCACCAUCGACCGAUCCUGAUGUCUUCGGAUGGAUUUGAGUAAGAGCGUAGCUGUGGGGACCCGAAAGAUGGUGAACUAUGCCUGAAUAGGGCGAAGCCAGAGGAAACUCUGGUGGAGGCUCGCAGCGGUUCUGACGUGCAAAUCGAUCGUCAAAUUUGGGUAUAGGGGCGAAAGACUAAUCGAACCAUCUGGUAGCUGGUUCCUGCCGAAGUUUCCCUCAGGAUAGCAGUAACGCAAUUUCAGUUUUAUGGGGUAAAGCGAAUGAUUAGAGGCCUUGGGGUUGAAACAACCUUAACCUAUUCUCAAACUUUAAAUAUGUAAGAAGCCCUUGUUACUUAAUUGAACGUGGGCGUUAGAAUGUCGCGUUACUAGUGGGCCAUUUUUGGUAAGCAGAACUGGCGAUGCGGGAUGAACCGAACGCGAGGUUAAGGUGCCGGAAUGCACGCUCAUCAGACACCACAAAAGGUGUUAGUUCAUCUAGACAGCCCGACGGUGGCCAUGGAAGUCGGAAUCCGCUAAGGAGUGUGUAACAACUCACGGGCCGAAUGAACUAGCCCUGAAAAUGGAUGGCGCUCAAGCGUGUUACCUAUACCUCGCCGCCGGGGUAGAAACGACGCCCCGGCGAGUAGGCAGGCGUGGGGGUCCGUGACGAAGCC
rnacentral:rRNA from 1 species